GGUCGGCGAGGUGUUGCACGCGUUGGCGUUGUCGUUGCCGGCGGCGACGGCGAAGGUCACUCCGGCGGAGACGGCGCGUUCGAUCGCGGCGUCGACCGCC
rnacentral:tRNA from 1 species